GUGAGAAUCUGGCACAAAGUACACUUGGUUAAACACGAACACUCACAACUGGAAGCACAAAAAAAAGAUGUCCAAUUGCUGGAUGCUUCCCGAGCCACGCAAUUAAAUCACAACUGUGCUUUUCAGAAAUACCUGGAGCAAGUCCAUCUUCCAAUAAUAGAAUCUUUUCCGGCACACGGCUGUGUCUGCACUCCCAGAAAAAACUGUGGGGCUGCCUGUUAUCAGAAAGCAGCCUUUUUUCCCUUUUGCUUUCAGAACACCAGUGUGAAAGGUGAGUGCAAUUUCUUACUCAGAGGUGGAAAUGUUUUAAAAAUCAAUUACUUAACCGCAAACAGGUACUGUCUCUGAAAUAAUGAGAUUUUGUUUAUCAGAGACAGUGUCUGUUAAGGUGCAUUUUGCCUGGUCUUGUCUCUUACGGAGAAGUGGUUCAAAAUAGUUGCGGUUUCUGUGUACUUCUGAUAAGGAUGCUGAAAUAAUUGCACUUUCAGCAGAAAGAGCAAUCUUGAAAAUUCCCCUGGUUAAUUUUUCUCUCAAAAAUGGAAAGCUGGAGCAACUUGCCUGAAACAUGGAUUUGGUCUCUGAAUGAUACCUGAGAUGUGUUUUACCUAAACAAUUGCAGCUCUAAGUCCAGUGGGAGAAUUUGGGCUCUGUGGUUCAGAAUCUGCCUUCUCUCCGAGAAUUGGCUUUAAAAGUGUUUUAUUUUAUUUUGUUGAUCUACCAGCAAUAUGGCAGACAUGGAUUUGAUCCCUGAGUUGGGACGAUCCCCUGCAGAUGGAAACGGCAGCCUACUCCAGUACUCUUGCCUGGGAAAUCCGACGGACAGAGGAGACAGGCCGGCUACAGUCUGUGGGGUCACAGAGUCAGACAUGACUUGGUGACUGGCACAUUCUUCAACAAUUAAUGGCUGUUGUGGGGUUUGAAUAAUGAAGAUCCAUCUUAAGCGUGCAUUCCUAUGCUCAGGCUUUUAUGAAGCGUCUUUAAACUUGCAGUCCCCUGGUUGCUCCCGAGACGAACACCCUGAGCCCCCGUCCUCUUACAGGACCGUGUGUCGUCAUGACAUCCACGGUGGGAAUCAGAUCCAGGGGCAGGCCUCUCACGUUGCUGUUAUUAGAUGGUACGCGCUCCAGUGCUUGCUGUGGGGGAUGCUAACCCCCAAAGGCCUUUUGUUAGUGUCCCAGAAUUUAAGCUGGGAAGCAGAGUUGCUUGUCUCAGAGCAAAAUAAAACGGAAUGCCUUGGGAAGGCAGCGCCGAGUAGAAAUAGAUUUUUUUCUUUUCAGAAACAGCAUUUGAAAAAAAGAAUUUAA
rnacentral:lncRNA from 1 species